rnacentral:lncRNA from 10 species
GUUUGUGUAUAUAAAGGCUUUUUAUUAUUACGUUAAUUUUAUAUCCUGAUACUUUACUAAUUUUUUAUAUUUGUUUUGCUUUUGUGUGGUUACAUUCCAGUGUUAAUUUGUUUUAUCCUUCUUUCUCUUGGGUUUUCCGGAAAUACACUCAUAUCUCCUGCAAACAGAAAGGGUUUACAUCCUGUCCCUCUUCUAUUUCUCCCCGUCUGAUUGCACGGGCUGACGCCUCCAUUGAGCCCGCCAAGCUGGAGAUGACUGGGAGAUCAUCUUACUGUAAUAGGUUUUCCUGUUUGGUAGGAGCUUAGCUUUGGGGCUGAGAAUUUUUUUUUUUUUUUCUGCCAGGGACAUUACCAUAAAUUCCUUUUUAACUAAGCAUUUUUGUUGCUAUUUGAAUCAGGAAAGGGUGCUGGAAUUUGGAGAAGCCACAAAUAAAGCAUCUUCGGUCAGGGCUGUCCCAGGCCUGUCCAGAAACUGACCAUGGAGACUCCCCCAGCAGCUCCAUUCCUUGGAGAACAGAGGGUGUCAUGGAAAUGAGUGCCACGUCUGUCUCACCUGCGGACGCACAGGUCCUGCGCCUGCCUGGCAGAGGGAGACGUGCUCUGAGGACAGUGUGUUCCUGCACUCAGGAUGCCUCAUCCCUGAACAUCCACUGACAGCGAAGAAUCAGACCCCAGCCCCAGGGGACAGCCUCGGCUGGCCACAGUAGUGCUGUCUGGCUCCAGGGAUCUGGACAGUGGCCUUCCUUCCUUCAGAGAACACCCCAAAAGCUCCUGCCUGGGGUCCAGACACCAGCUACUGGAGUCUCUCACCCUGGAGGCCCUCACCUGGAGACCCUCACCUGGAGGCCCUCACUUGGAGACCUUCACCUGGAGACCCUCAACUGGAGACUGUCACCUGGAGACCCUCACCUGGAAGCCCUCACCUGGAGGCUCUCACCUAGAGACCCUCACCUGGAGAUUCUCACCUGGAUACCCUGACCUGGAAGCCCUCAUCCAGAGGCUCUCACCUGGAGGCCUUCACUUUGAGACCUUCACCUGGAGUCUCUCACCUAAAGACCCUCUCCGGGAAGCCCUUCCUUGGAACCCCUCCCUGAUGACUGCUGAGUCCAGAGCCAGAGUCAGGUUUAUUCACAGGUAUUUGCCUUCAGGGAUGCUCUUUGAGGUAGCAAGGAUGUGAGUGGAAUGCCCUGAAAGUGGCAAAGGGGACAUGGGCAGUCUCAGGGGGUAACCUGGGAAAGCUUUCUAAGUAAGGUGGUGUUUGAACUGGGCUUCAAGGUACACAUAGGAGUUUUACAGGUGGACAGAAAGAAGGCCAAGGAGUUCCAGGCCGAGGAGGCCACAUGGGCAGGGAAGUGAGUUGCUUCACGACAUGCAGGGUGGGAGCACAAGGCUCAGACAGAGGCCUCCGAGAUGGAGAAGAAGGUAUCUGGCGUGCCCUGGGAUCAUGAUGGCAAGUGGGGGUGGGGGCUUUGCAGCUGUAUGUCAAGCGUGCCUGCUGUUUCUCCUUUCCUAAGGAAUGCUUGUACUCCCAGCUGCCACCUUCCUUCCUCUCUACUCUGAAAGGGUGUCCCAGGCUGCUCUCCAGCUCUGCAGGAGGAGGAUGGGAUGUCAGAUGGUCCAGGCUGGGUGCUGCGUCUGGGAGAAACAGGAUACCUGUGUAGGGAUGGGCAGGGGGAAGUGGGGAGUCUCAGGGGCUUCUAUGAAGGGGCCCUUUGGAUGAGAAGUGGGAGUCUGAUCCUUGUCCCUCUGAGAGCAUAGUGCUUAUCAGUAGCUGCUGGGACAGGUGGUGUGCUGACCCGUGGCAGUGGCGACCUCCAUAUCUCUCUGCCUGUCCAUCUUCUUACGCCUUAAACUCCGACGCUCAGGAAAUGGUGCAGCUACGUGUUCUGAAAUGGAGCCCGGCCUAGCCACGGUUCACUUCUCAGCCCUCCUAACGCAGAGGAAGAGUUACCCAGUCACAGUCAGAGAGCCUGACUCCAGCCUGCUCAAUGAGCCAGCGGGAGCUUGGCAGCCCAUUCUGAGACAGGUAAUGGGGAGGAGCAUUAGCACCGGGAGACCUUGGUAAUCACUCAGCUGGCCCCUGAUUUUACAGCUGAGGGAGCCUAGGUCCUUACCUCACACCCGAGAAAGGGAAAUUAUUACCAGAGUUAAAGCUUUCCAUUUUUGAUAUUUUAUAGCGAGCCAUUUUUAAGUAGAGUCUGGUGUCAGUCUUGAAGAGCUGAACACGCUCACUAGGAAAGGUGAUGAGUACUUAGGGCAGUGCUGGCUGAGCGGCACUUUUAAUCAAGGACUCCUGGGCCUCUUGCAUAAAUUCACUCCAAACCCAGUGCAUCACUCCUUCGUUCUCUGAGGACAGCGGCAACUUUGUCAUCUUUUGUUUCAAAGUGCAUAGUAUUUAGAUAGUCUAAAAUGUGCUCUGCAAAUACUUCCUUUUGGAAAUUUUGAUAAUAAAAGUUAUAAAACGCUAGAAGUGCAGUGGUUCUUCACUUUUUUUUUUUUAUAAUGGACCUCAGAGAUUGUGAGAAAAAUGAGAAUCUACCUAGUCAUACUCAUAGCAACAUGCAUAAAAUUGUGCUUUAUUGCAAUAGGCAUGAAUAUCUUUAAUAAAGACAAAU